UACAGAGGGUGCAAGCGUUAAUCGGAAUUACUGGGCGUAAAGCGUGCGUAGUCGGCUUUUCAAGUCGGGUGUGAAAUCCCACGGCUCAACCGUGGAAGUGCACUCGAAACUGCAGGGCUAGAGUCCUGGAGAGGAAGGUGGAAUGCUUGGUGUAGAGGUGAAAUUCGUAGAUAUCAAGCGGAACACCGGUGGCGAAGGCGGCCUUCUGGACAGUGACGUGACGCUGAGACGCGAAAGCGUGGGGAGCAAACAGG
rnacentral:rRNA from 1 species